UACGUAGGGGGCAAGCGUUGUCCGGAUUCAUUGGGCGUAAAGAGCUCGUAGGCGGCUGUUCAAGUCGAACGUGAAAACUCGGAGCUCAACUCCGAGCCUGCGUUCGAUACUGGACGGCUAGAGUCUGGUAGGGGGGAUCUGGAAUUCCUGGUGUAGCGGUGGAAUGCGCAGAUAUCAGGAGGAACACCGGUGGCGAAGGCGGCUCUCUGGGACGGUACUGACGCUGAGACGCGAAAGCGUGGGGAGCAAACAGG
rnacentral:rRNA from 1 species